GACGACAAAUAUUAUUCCGGUGUUAGCCCCAGGGAACUGUUGCUGCUGAUAUAUUAUUCUCCCAAAAAAAAAAUCACCUAUAUCACAGUGGCUGUUCUUUUUGGCUGCACCGACAAGUUCACCGAUUUGUCA
rnacentral:pre_miRNA from 15 species